rnacentral:sRNA from 1 species
GCCAUUUUGGCCGGUGGCCGUGAGAACACGCUGUGUGGCUGAAAAGUGAAGGCAAGAGCUGAUUUGGCAUCUGUGCUCCCCUCCGCAAGGGGAUCGUUUUCUCCAGGGAAGUGUUCGCCAGUUACUACAUGAAAAGAUAAGAGAUGCUUAUACUCAUCCACAAUUUGUGACCGAUGUAAUGAAGCCUCUGCAAAUUGAAAACAUCAUUGAUCAAGAGGUGCAGACAUUAUCUGGUGGUGAACUACAGCGAGUAGCUUUAGCCCUUUGUUUGGGCAAACCUGCUGAUGUCUAUUUAAUUGAUGAACCAUCUGCAUAUUUGGAUUCUGAACAAAGACUGAUGGCAGCUCGAGUUGUCAAACGUUUCAUACUCCAUGCAAAAAAGACAGCCUUUGUUGUGGAACAUGACUUCAUCAUGGCCACC